CUCUGCGGAAUCUUCCACAAUACAGUAACACCACAAAGAAAGCUGACCCCUUUUUCUGAUUGUUUGUGCCUCCUCUUUAAUACAUGUGACUUGUAUGUGGCAGUGCAAGC